CAAGCGCAAUGGAGGUAGAGAAGAGAGACGGCACGACCAGGAGCGCCGUCCUCGGAACAAGAAAGCUGCCUGCUUGCUUGCCUGCCUGCCUGCCUGCCUGCCGCCUGCCUGCUAGCCAGCCACCCCAAGUUCCCUUCUAGACGGUCUCUCAUCGCGAUAAGGCGUACCAGUCCGCGGUGUGAUCGAGUGGCUCUCGUCGUCGCGGGCGAUUUAAGUACGCGCGCAGACACCCGGUAGACGAACACCUACCCACAUAACCGCGACCAAUGGGGAUCACGUCAACGCAACCAGAUGGCUUUUUCGUUACAUGAAAUAUUAAAAUAAAAUAUCUUGGCACG